CCACGCCUGAAUCACGCCCAAUCCAUGUGUGAGCCGUGCAUGAACCACAUGCGAGACACCCUUGAACCACAUCUGAAACACACAUGUUCGAUGCUUGAACCACACAUGAACCACAGGGGAGCCACACAUGAAACACAGGUGAGGCAUGCAUGAGCCACAUCCCAGCCAUGACUGAGUAUGUGGGGGUCACGUUUCAGCAACGUGGGAGCCACACCUGUACGACAUGUCCCACUUGUGACCACAUUCCUACCACCCAUGGAUACUGUGCGAUGAAUGCCUGAGUCACGUGUCAGCCAUGUCUGCAUCAUGUGUCCUCCCUGCAUCAGAAAAGUGCCAGACACACCUGAAUCACCUGUCCCCCCGAUCAGAAUCACGUCAGGCAAACCUGAGCCAUGUGUCACCUGUGACACACCAAGUGUCAGCCACACCACAAUCACGUGUCACUGCGGCCUGAAUGAAGCCUCACACAGCACUGGAAACCAUGUCCGACACACCUGAAUCUCAUGCCUAAAACACAUGUCAGCAAUGCCUGAGUCUCAUGUCAGACAUGCCUGAGCCACGUGCCAACCAUGCCAGAUCCACACCCAAGCCAGGCGUGAGUCUCACCUGAGACAUGUGUUAGCCAUGUGUGACAUACUCCUGAAUCAUGUGUCAGCCACACCUUUCCCCGCUCUGAGGCUAGCCUGAACUCCAUGUGAGCAAUGGCUGAGCCAUGCCUGAACCACGUGUGAGCCACGCCUGAAUCACGGGUGGAACACUCCUGAACCAUAGGUGACAUGCACAUGAGCUGUGUGUUAGCCACACCUGCGUUACACCUGAACCAUUUGGGAGCCACACUUGAACCAUGACUGAACCACAUGAGACACACUGAACCACAUGGGAAACACGUGUGAAGCACACAUGUUGAAGGUUUGAACCACACGUGAACCACAAUGGAGCCACUCAUGAAUCAUGGCUGGGCCAUGUGUGCACCACAUGCCAGCCACGUCUGAGUAGGUGGGAGACGUGUCAGCAGCGAGUGAGUCCCGUGUGUGCCACACAUGAACGACAUGUAACCCAUGCAUGAAACACAUGUCUGCCAGGUAUGGAUAAUGUGCGAUGAAUGCCUGAGUCACAUGUCAGCCAUGGCAGUGUCAUGUGUCAGCCACACCUGAAGCACCUGGCACCCCUGCGUGAACCACGUGCCAGCCAGCCCUGAGCCACGUGAAGGCCAUGCAUGAACCAGGUGCAAGCCACACCUGCGUGAUGUGAUGGUCACGCCUGUGUCCCGUGGCUGCCUCACCUGAGUUGUGUCAGCCAUGCCUGAAAAACGUGUGAGCCACGCCUGAGUCCCAUGUCAGCCAUGCUGAAGUCAUGUGCCAGCCACGACUGAAACAUGUGCCAGUCCCAAUUUAACCACGCACUCGCCUCACCUGAAGCACGUGUCAGACACGCUGGAGCCACCUGCCUGCCAUGCCUCGACCACGUGCCAACCAUGCCACAAUCCAGUGUGAGCCACGCCGGAGCAGCACCACAGCCAUGCAUGAGCCACACUUCAGCCGUGUGUGAGCCAUGCGUGACAAAUGCCUGAAUCUUGCAUCAGCCACAUGUGACCCAGUUCUGUGGCAUGCCUGCAUCAUGUGUGAGCUUGGCUGAGCUGCACAUGCACCAUGUGUGGGCCAUGCCUAAAUCCUGUGUGAAAGUCUCCUGCAGCAUUUGUGACCCACACAAGUCAUGUGAGAGCCAUGCCUGAAUUACAUCUGAACUGUGUGUGAGCCACAACUGAACCAUACCUGAACCACAUGAGAGGCACCUUUGAACCACAUCUGAAGCACAUGUGAAGCACCCAUGUUCAAUGCUUGAACCACACAUGAACCUCAGGUGAGCCACACAUGAAACACAGCUGAGGCAUGCAUGAGCCACGUGCCAGCCAUGACUGAGUA
ensembl:lncRNA